rnacentral:rRNA from 1 species
GACGAACGCUGGCGGCGUGCUUAACACAUGCAAGUCGAACGGAAAGGCCCAGCUUGCUGGGUACUCGAGUGGCGAACGGGUGAGUAACACGUGGGUGAUCUGCCCUGCACUCUGGGAUAAGCCUGGGAAACUGGGUCUAAUACCGGAUAUGACCGACUGUCGCAUGGUGGUUGGUGGAAAGCUUUUGCGGUGUGGGAUGGGCCCGCGGCCUAUCAGCUUGUUGGUGGGGUAAUGGCCUACCAAGGCGACGACGGGUAGCCGACCUGAGAGGGUGAUCGGCCACAAUGGGACUGAGACACGGCCCAGACUCCUACGGGAGGCAGCAGUGGGGAAUAUUGCACAAUGGGCGCAAGCCUGAUGCAGCGACGCCGCGUGAGGGAUGACGGCCUUCGGGUUGUAAACCUCUUUCACCAGGGACGAAGCGUGAGUGACGGUACCUGGAGAAGAAGCACCGGCCAACUACGUG